rnacentral:rRNA from 1 species
AUUGAACGCUGGCGGCAGGCCUAACACAUGCAAGUCGAGCGGAGCGGCGGACGGGCGAGUAAUGCCUAGGAAUCUGCCUGGUAGUGGGGGAUAACGUCCGGAAACGGGCGCUAAUCCCGCAUCCUAUCAGAUGAGCCUAGGUCGGAUUAGCUAGUUGGUGGGGUAACGGCUCACCAAGGCGACGAUCCAUAGCUGGUCUGCGAGGAUGACCAGCCACACUGUACCUGAGACAGGGUCCAGACUCCUACGGGAGGCAGCAGUGGGAAAUAUUGCACAAUGGGCGCAAGCCUGAUGCAGCCAUGCCGCGUGUAUGAAGAAGGCCUUCGGGUUGUAAAGUACUUUCAGCGGGGAGGCGUUACCCGCAGAAGAAGCACCGGCUAACUCCGUGCCAGCCGCCGCGGUAAUUC